GAUGAACGCUGGCGGCGUGCCUAAUACAUGCAAGUAGAACGCUGAAGGAGGAGCUUGCUCUUCUGGAUGAGUUGCGAACGGGUGAGUAACGCGUAGGUAACCUGCCUGUUAGCGGGGGAUAACUAUUGGAAACGAUAGCUAAUACCGCAUGACAACAGUUAUUGCAUGAUAACUGUUUAAAAGGGGCAACUGCUCCACUACCAGAUGGACCUGCGUUGUAUUAGCUAGUUGGUGAGGUAACGGCUCACCAAGGCGACGAUACAUAGCCGACCUGAGAGGGUGAUCGGCCACACUGGGACUGAGACACGGCCCAGACUCCUACGGGAGGCAGCAGUAGGGAAUCUUCGGCAAUGGACGGAAGUCUGACCGAGCAACGCCGCGUGAGUGAAGAAGGUUUUCGGAUCGUAAAGCUCUGUUGUAAGAGAAGAACGAGUGUGAGAGUGGAAAGUUCACACUGUGACGGUAUCUUACCAGAAAGGGACGGCUAACUACGUG
rnacentral:rRNA from 1 species